GCAGCGUGAACCCUCCCCUCGCCAAGCGCUUGGAUGAGCUCCGGCAUGGGCCCGAGAGAGCGCGGCUGAGAGAGCUGGCGGCAUUGGCGGAGGAGCUGAUGCUGAGCGAGGCCGAGGACACAGCGCUGGUGGAGGGCACAGCACCCCCCGAGCAGCAGCUGGGGUUCAUCAGGGACCUGCUGGAUGCGGCCCCCUCCAGGGAGGAGGA